UUUGACCUUUUUUUGUCAGAUUGCCGAUUGAGUGGCAGUAUAAGUGCAUACUGUAAAUAUACUAAUAGAAGCCUUCCAUUGUACUCUUUUGGACACUUUGUUUAUUGAAUAUUUAGGCAUUUGAUCUUUGAUUGAACUUGAGUGCAAAGCAAUGCAUUGGCACUUAUCGAAUGAUCCCCUCUUCCUAUAAGAUGACAAAACUUGGUCCUCAUGCUCAAUGUCCUACUCCCUAGAUGGGUCAAUGUAUCAUCGGUGAGUCAAUUACUGGGAGCACUCUUGUGGCUUAGUCUGAGCAGCUACCUCAACAAAGUUUAGUGAUUGUCAUGAGGCACAAAUUCAAUCAGCAAGAUGGUCUUCCCAAGUUUGAAAAGCACAAAGCAGCAAGUCAAGAUUAAGGUGUCCAACAAAAUCAAAAUAACAGUUCAAAAAUCAUAAAGAUAUUUAUGCUUCAUCUCAUCUCGGAGUGAUCUACUUGUACUUAGGUACAAAUAUAUUAGUUCUUCCUUUCUAUCCAAAUUAUUUGUAGUUUACACCCUGUAUCAGUUUUUCUUUCAAUGAAUUAAGCUAUCGCAAUGGGAAAAGAAUUGGAAUUGUAGCC